rnacentral:ncRNA from 1 species
AAAGUUUUGGUCCUGAGCUUACCGUUCUUUUUUAUUAAAAUUAUACAUGCAAGUCUCAACAUACUAGUGAAAAUGCCCACAACCUCUAAAAAAAAACGUGGAGCAGGCAUCAGGCACUACCAUUUAAGCCCAUAACGCCUUGCCACGCCACACCCCCACGGGUUAUCAGCAGUAAUAAAUAUUGGACCAUAAGCGAAAGCUUGAUCCAGCUAUAAUAAUUCUAGGGCUGGUUAAUUUCGUGCCAGCCACCGCGGUUAUACGAAAAGCCCAAAACAACGGUUAACGGCGUAAAAUGUGACUAGAGAUUUUUAAUAUUAUAAAUAUAAUAAACCUAUAGCUUAAUUAUAAAAUAUUAAAGCAAUAAAGGAAAACCAACACAAAUAUUUUUGAUAUUAUUUUCUUGAUCCCACGAAAGCUUAGAAACAAACUAGGAUUAGAUACCCUACUAUGCUAAGCCAUAAACAUUGAUAGCCACCAUACAACACUUUCCGCCAGAGAACUACAAGUGAAAAACUUGAAACUCAAAGGACUUGACGGUGUCCCAUAUCGACCUAGAGGAGCCUGUCCUAUAAUCGAUACCCCCCGUUCCACCCAACCUUAACUAGCAAAUAUCAGCCUAUAUACCGCCGUCGAUCAGCCUACCCUAUGAAGGUCUAAUAGUAGACAAAAUAGCCCAACCGCUAAUACGUCAGGUCAAGGUGUAGCAAAUGUUAAGGAAGAGAUUGGCUACAUUUUUUAAUAUAAAAAACACGAAAAGCACUAUGAAACCGUUCAUGAAGGUGAAUUUAGUAGUAAAAUAAAUAAGAGUAUUUAUUUUAACAACGCUCUGGGACGCGUACACACCGCCCGUCACCCUCCUCAACAUCAAAAAUAUUACUUACAUAAAUAAAAAAGUAAAACAAGAGGAGGCAAGUCGUAACAUGGUAAGCGUACCGGAAGGUGUGCUUGGAAUAAC